GGGUCAGUAGGUUGGUCGUGCCACCGGUACGUACUGGUCUCACUGAUUCCUCCUUCCUGAAGAACCGUAAUGCCAUUAAUUUGGUGUUGCGGGGAAACAGGACUGCUACUUUGAAAAAAUUAGAGUGUUUAAAGCAAGCUAACGCUUGAAUACAUUAGCAUGGAAUAAUGAAAUAGGACGAUCGAUCCUAUUUUGUUGGUUUCUAGGAUUGACGUG
rnacentral:rRNA from 1 species